rnacentral:rRNA from 1 species
GACGAACGCUGGCGGCGUGCUUAACACAUGCAAGUCGAACGGAAAGGCCCUGCUUUUGUGGGGUGCUCGAGUGGCGAACGGGUGAGUAACACGUGAGUAACCUGCCCUUGACUUUGGGAUAACUUCAGGAAACUGGGGCUAAUACCGGAUAGGAGCUCCUGCUGCAUGGUGGGGGUUGGAAAGAUUCGGCGGUUGGGGAUGGACUCGCGGGUUAUCAGCUUGUUGGUGGGGUAGUGGCUUACCAAGGCUUUGACGGGUAGCCGGCCUGAGAGGCUGACCGGCGACAUUGGGACUGAGGUACGGCCCAGACUCCAACGGGAGGCAGCAGUGGAGAAUAUUGCACAAUGGGCGGAAGUCUGAUGCAGCAACGCUGCGUGCGGGAUGACGGCCUUCGGGUUGUAAACCGCUUUCGCCUGUGACGAAGCGUGAGUGACGGUAAUGGGUAAAGAAGCACCGGCUAACUACGUG